UGAAGACAGAAAAAGAGUGAUACUUUCAAGUUUUCAACAUGAUUUGCUAUUUGACUCCUGGGAUAUCAAAUGUGGCAACCAAGGCUUAGGAAGUUAGAAAAUUUGUCUAAGAUCUCACAACUAGCAACUGGAAAAGCUGGACCUUGAUCUCACGUCAGCUGAUUCUAGAGCCUAAAUCUACAGAUCAUGAUGGCAACAUGGACAUUAGACUACAUGGCCCUCGCACAAGGCUACUGCAACGCUUUAAACAAGAAGUCAAAGAGGGAGAUGAAGUAGAAGGUUAUGUGCAAACCAAAAGUCCACAGAACUGAGUCUGGAAGAACUGGAUGUGAAGUGAAAGGGACAGGAAAGAGUCUGGCCUGAUUCCCAGGCCUGUCAUCUGAGCCAGUGACUAAAUGGGUAAGUGGUGUGAU